CUGUCGUUAGAGGCUCUGGAGCCAUGUUGACUCUGCCUCUGCUAAGUGUGCAGUAGUGGGCGGUAGUGGGUCUGAGCGGCUGUAAUCCAGCUCCUCGGUCUGUUUUCGGUAGUUUUACGUUUGAUUUCACCAUUUUACAUCAUGGCGAAUUAUUGUGUUUUACGAAUUCAGCCUGUCAGGACAUGGAGUCCACUGUUUCAGAAAAAGCUUGCUAACUAGCUGGCUCUGGUGCGUGCAGGUGGAGAGACGGGACUUCACUGCUGCAUCUAUAACGAAAACCGCGGCCGUGUUGCGCUCAUUUUAUACAGGAGGAUUAUGUUCCCGGUGACAUGAUGGAGUUCAGGACGGGAUAACGAAGCCAGGACCGUGUGAGACUGACAGCUGUGCACCGCUUUGGGAGGUACUACAAGUAAUGAAGGGACAGAUCAGAUGCACCUACACCCAGUGCUGCAGUGCUUAUAGACUCAGAGCAAGAGGUCUCGCCACUGGCUCCUCAACCACCAUCUGUGCUUCACUGUGGCUCACAGUGUGACCUCAAACCUUUCCUUCAUCAGGUCUACAAAAAACCUUGGAUACUGCUGCAAAGGACAGGGAGGGAGGACCUGAAGCUGUGGAGGCGAGCCAUUAUUAACCACCUGUACUGGACUGCAGCUUCCACUCUAACGGAGAUCCAGAUGUGCUGGUGUUCAGAACAUCCGUGAACACGGCACGCUGGAACCAGCAUAUGCAUCAGCCCUAAUGGAGUCUCUGAGAGAGGGCUGCUCCAGGUCACCAAAGGCUCUACGAGAGAGAAGUGCUGUCUUGUCCUCCACUGCACCUGCCCCCCUUUCCAGAUCCUGCCAGAUGAUCACCAAGGAUGAGGCAGUCGUCCUGUAUCUCGCAUGGUGUUCACGGUUUAACACAGGACAUUAAUGUGAAACCAGCAUAGAUGUUUUGGUUUCCAGUUUUCAGGUUGAGAUUAUUAUAAUUCAAGACAAAGUUUGGACACUCCUACAAUUCAUAUUCAUAUUAUCCUCGGCCAAAGACGUACUCAGUCACAUUUGUUUAUUUGUAAGAUGUCUCAAAAACCUGGUAAGAGAUUUUGAUGAAAUCUGGUAAACAAUUAGGCUACGGGCCAAGGAUAGAGUGACUAGUUUUUCUUGUUGCUUUGUUUUUUGUUUUAAAAGUUUUCUUAACAUUGCAAGAGAGCAUUUUGAACAUUUUCACUGUUUACUUUGCUUAUUGUACUCUGUGUGGAUUUUUCUAUUAAUCUUCUAUUAAUAAAAUAUUGAUUUUACAGCUUUA